rnacentral:rRNA from 1 species
GUGAGUAAUGCUUGGGAAUAUGCCUUAGGGAGGGGGACAACAGUUGGAAACGACUGCUAAUACCGCAUAAUGUCUUCGGACCAGUGGGGGACCUUCGGCCUCCCGCCAUAAGAUUAGCCCAAGUGGGAUUAGCUAGUUGGUGAGGUAACGGCUCACCAAGGCGACGAUCCCUAGCUGGUUUGAGAGGAUGAUCAGCCACACUGGGACUGAGACACGGCCCAAACUCCUACGGGAGGCAGCAGUGGGGAAUAUUGCACAAUGGGGGAAAGCCUGAUGCAGCCAUGCCGCGUGUGUGAAGAAGGCCUUCGGGUUGUAAAGCACUUUCAGUUAUGAGGAAAGGUUAAGUAGUUAAUACCAGUUAGCCGUGACGUUACUUACAGAAGAAGCACCGGCUAACUCCGUGCCAGCAGCCGCGGUAAUACGGAGGGUGCGAGCGUUAAUCGGAAUUACUGGGCGUAAAGCGCACGCAGGCGGUUUGUUAAGCGAGAUGUGAAAGCCCCGGGCUCAACCUGGGAUGUGCAUUUAGAACUGGCAAACUAUAGUGUGGGAGAGGGUGGUAGAAUUCCAGGUGUAGCGGUGAAAUGCGUAUAUAUCUGAGGGAAUACCGAUGGCGAAUGCAGCCACCUGGGUCAACACUGACGCUCAUGUACGAAAGCGUGGG